rnacentral:rRNA from 1 species
GACGAACGCUGGCGGCGUGCUUAACACAUGCAAGUCGAACGGAAAGGCCCUGCUUUUGUGGGGUGCUCGAGUGGCGAACGGGUGAGUAACACGUGAGUAACCUGCCCUUGACUUUGGGAUAACUUCAGGAAACUGGGGCUAAUACCGGAUAGGAGCGCCUGCUGCAUGGUGGGGGUUGGAAAGUUUCGGCGGUUGGGGAUGGACUCGCGGCUUAUCAGCUUGUUGGUGGGGUAGUGGCUUACCAAGGCUUUGACGGGUAGCCGGCCUGAGAGGGUGACCGGCCACAUUGGGACUGAGAUACGGCCCAGACUCCUACGGGAGGCAGCAGUGGGGAAUAUUGCACAAUGGGCGGAAGCCUGAUGCAGAAACGCCGCGUGCGGGAUGACGGCCUUCGGGUUGUAAACCGCUUUCGCCUGUGACGAAGCGUGAGUGACGGUAAUGGGUAAAGAAGCACCGGCUAACUACGUG